AUCAGGGUGGCUGAUUAAGCAAUAAACUGUAAAUUUAUAUAUGAAAUUAUAUUUCUCCUGAUA
rnacentral:tRNA from 1 species